AUACCGUGAUCAAAUAGGCGGUUCCCCCAGGGCGAGGCUGCUCCAUUGCACUGCGGAACGGUUGACCCUUGCGAUUACCCCUAAUGCGGGUAACUCGGACGCGUAAUUUUUGGUAGUGGGGA
rnacentral:snRNA from 1 species